GCCCAGAGAGAGGGAUGGCUGAC
rnacentral:piRNA from 1 species